rnacentral:rRNA from 1 species
AUUGAACGCUGGCGGCCUGCUUUACACAUGCAAUUCGAGCGAGCGGCGGACGGGUGAGUAAUGUCUGGGAAACUGCCCGAUGGAGGGGGAUAACUACUGGAAACGGUAGCUAAUACCGCAUACUAUUCGAUGUGCCCAGAUGGGAUUAGCUAGUUGGUGGGGUAAAGGAUCACCCAGGCGACGAUCCCUAGCUGGUCUGAGAGGAAGACCAGCCACACUGGAACUGAGACACGGUCCAGACUCCUACGUGAGGCAGCAGUGGGGAAUGUUGGACAAUGGGCGCAAGCCUGAUGCAGCCAUGCCGCGUGUGUGAAGAAGGCCUUCGGGUUGUAAAGCACUUUCAGCGAAGAGGCGUUACUCGCAGAAGAAGCACCGGCUAACUCCGUGCCAGCAGCCGCGGUAAUUC